rnacentral:rRNA from 1 species
UACGGAGGAUGCAAGCGUUAUCCGGAAUGAUUGGGCGUAAAGCGUCCGCAGGUGGCAAUGUAAGUCUGCUGUCAAAGCGUCUGGCUCAACCAGAUAAAGGCAGUGGAAACUACAUAGCUAGAGUAAGGUAGGGGUAGAGGGAAUUCCUGGUGUAGCGGUGAAAUGCGUAGAGAUCAGGAAGAACACCGGUGGCGAAAGCGCUCUGCUAGGCCGUAACUGACACUGAGAGACGAUAGCUAGGGGAGCGAAUAGG